rnacentral:rRNA from 1 species
AAUCAACGCUGGCGGCGUGCCUCAGACAUGCAAGUCGAACGAUUAAAGCUCCCUUCGGGAGUGCAUAGAGUGGCGCACGGGUGAGUAACACGUAAGUAAUCUACCUUUGAGUGGGGAAUAACGUUCGGAAACGGACGCUAAUACCGCAUAAUGCAGCGGCAUCGCAAGAUGACAGUUGUUAAAGGAGCAAUCCGCUUAAAGAGGAGCUUGCGGCAGAUUAGCUUGUUGGUAAGGUAACGGCUUACCAAGGCUACGAUCUGUAUCCGGUCUAAGAGGACGGUCGGACACACUGACACUGAAUAACGGGUCAGACUCCUACGGGAGGCAGCAGUCGGGAAUUUUGGGCAAUGGGCGAAAGCCUGGCCCAGCAACGCCGCGUGAAGGAUGAAGUAUUUCGGUAUGUAAACUUCGAAAGAAUAGGAAGAAUAAAUGACGGUACUAUUUAUAAGCUCCGGCUAACUACGUGCCAGCAGCCGCAGUAAU